rnacentral:lncRNA from 1 species
AUUUAAAAUUACAAUUUAAAUUUUAAUUUGAAUUCAUAAAUUUAAUUUAAGUUUGAAAUAAAAUUUGAAUAACAUUUUAUAUAAAUUAAAUUUUAAUUUAAAUUCAAAUUCAUAAGUUAGAUUCGAAAUAUUUGAUUAAAUUUUAAUUUUUAAUUUAAGUUUAAAUUAAAAUUUAAAAUUAUAUAUUUAAUUUUAAAAUUUUAACUCAUAUUUUAAUUAAAAAGUUGAAAAAAUAAAUUUAAUCCGAAUAAAUAUUCAUUCCGUCCGAAUUCAACUUUCAAUCCGGUCUCCUAGGCCGGAUUGGAAAAAGAGGUGAUUGGGGGAUUCCCAUUCUACUCGGGAAUCGGAAUCGGAAUGGAACUCUCGCGUACCAAACACCCAUAAACGAAUUUAUCUAUUCCGAUUCCGAUUUCAGGGUAAAAAAGAGGCGAACCAAACACGCCCUUAAAAGUAUAUGAGCUUAAUUCUUAUAUAUAUAUAUA